CGGACGGGUGAGUAACACGUGGAUAACCUACCUAUAAGACUGGGAUAACUUCGGGAAACCGGAGCUAAUACCAGAUAACAUGUUGAACCGCAUGGUUCAACAGUGAAAGACGGUCUUGCUGUCACUUAUAGAUGGAUCCGCGCCGCAUUAGCUAGUUGGUAAGGUAACGGCUUACCAAGGCAACGAUGCGUAGCCGACCUGAGAGGGUGAUCGGCCACACUGGAACUGAGACACGGUCCAG
rnacentral:rRNA from 1 species